rnacentral:rRNA from 1 species
UACGUAGGGCGCAAGCGUUAUCCGGAAUUAUUGGGCGUAAAGAGCUCGUAGGCGGUUUGUCGCGUCGGAUGUGAAAGCCCGGGGCUUAACUCCGGGUCUGCAUUCGAUACGGGCAGACUAGAGUGUGGUAGGGGAGACUGGAAUUCCUGGUGUAGCGGUGGAAUGCGCAGAUAUCAGGAGGAACACCGAUGGCGAAGGCAGGUCUCUGGGCCACUACUGACGCUGAGAAGCGAAAGCAUGGGGAGCGAACAGG